rnacentral:rRNA from 1 species
GACAGAGGAGGCAAGCGUUGUCCGGAUUGACUGGGCGUAAAGCGUCCGCAGGUGGUCGCGCAAGUGCGCUGUGAAAGCGGCCCGCUCAACGGGCCGAGGCCAGCGCAGACUGCGCAACUCGAGGUCGGGAGAGGUCGGUGGAAUUGCCGGUGUAGUGGUGAAAUGCGUAGAGAUCGGCAGGAACACCCAAGGGGAAGCCAGCCGACUGGCCCGCACCU